CAGUCCACGCCGUAAACGAUGGACACUAGUUGUUGGGUGUAAGCUCAGUGACUAAGCGAAAGUGAUAAGUGUCCCACCUGGGGAGUACGGUCGCAAGAUUGAAACUCAAAGGAAUUGACGGGGGCCCGCACAAGCGGUGGAGCAUGUGGUUUAAUUCGAUGAUACGCGAGGAACCUUACCAGGGCUCAAAUGUAGAGUGACAGGGGUAGAGAUACCUUUUUCUUCGGACACUUUACAAGGUGCUGCAUGGUUGUCGUCAGCUCGUGCCGUGAGGUGUCAGGUUAGUCCUAUAACGAGCGCAACCCCUACCGUUAGUUGCCAGCAUGUUAUGAUGGGGACUCUAGCGGGACUGCCGGUGCAAACCGAGAGGAAGGUGGGGAUGACGUCAAAUCAUCACGGCCCUUACGUCCUGGGCUACGCACGUGCUACAAUGGUAACGACAGAGGGCAGCCACCACGCGAGUGGGAGCGAAUCCUUAAACGUUAUCUCAGUUCGGAUCGGAGUCUGC
rnacentral:rRNA from 1 species